UAAUACAGAGGGUGCAAGCGUUGUUCGGAAUUACUGGGCGUAAAGAGUUCGUAGGUGGUAUUGAGAGUCAUAGGUGAAAUCCCCAAGCUCAACUUGGGACGUGCCUGUGAGACCUCAGUACUAGAGUACGGAAGGGGCUAGUGGAAUACCAUGUGUAGCGGUGAAAUGCGUAGAUAUGUGGUGGAACAUCGGUGGCGAAGGCGACUGGCUGGUCCGUAACUGACACUGAGGAACGAAAGCGUGGGUAGCAAACAGGAUUAGAUACCCUGGUAGUCCACGCCGUAAACGAUGCAUACUAGGUGUUGCUGGGAUUGACUCCGGCAGUGCCGCAGCUAACGCAUUAAGUAUGCCGCCUGGGGAGUACGGUCGCAAGACUA
rnacentral:rRNA from 1 species